rnacentral:rRNA from 1 species
AUUGAACGCUGGCGGCAGGCCUAACACAUGCAAGUCGAGCGGAUGAAGAGAGCUUGCUCUCUGAUUUAGCGGCGGACGGGUGAGUAAUGCCUAGGAAUCUGCCUGGUAGUGGGGGAUAACGUCCGGAAACGGGCGCUAAUACCGCAUACGUCCUACGGGAGAAAGCAGGGGCCCUUCGGGCCUUGCGCUAUCAGAUGAGCCUAGGUCGGAUUAGCUAGUUGGUGAGGUAAUGGCUCACCAAGGCUACGAUCCGUAACUGGUCUGAGAGGAUGAUCAGUCACACUGGAACUGAGACACGGUCCAGACUCCUACGGGAGGCAGCAGUGGGGAAUAUUGGACAAUGGGCGAAAGCCUGAUCCAGCCAUGCCGCGUGUGUGAAGAAGGUCUUCGGAUUGUAAAGCACUUUAAGUUGGGAGGAAGGGCAGUAAGUUAAUACCUUGCUGUUUUGACGUUACCGACAGAAUAAGCACCGGCUAACUCCGUGCCAGCCGCCGCAGUAACAC